UGAGCAAUCUGCCCUUCUCAUCGGAAUAAGCGUUGGAAACGACGUCUAAUGCCGAAUACGACCUCCUUUCGCAUGAUCGGAGGUGGAAAGCUCCGGCGGAGAAGGAUGAGCUCGCGGCCUAUCAGCUAGUUGGUGUGGGUAAUGGCCCACCAAGGCGACGACGGGUAGCCGGCCCGAGAGGGUGACCGGCCACACUGGGACUGAGACACGGCCCAGACCUCCGUACGGGGA
rnacentral:rRNA from 1 species